rnacentral:rRNA from 1 species
GUGAUAUGGGUCUGAUUCCGGAGAAGGAGCCUGAGAGACGGCUACUACAUCUAAGGAAGGCAGCAGGCGCGCAAAUUUCCCAAUGCUCAUUGAGCGAGGAAGUGACGAUCAAUAACAAUGUGCGAUUCUUUAUGGAUUGUGCAAUUGGAAUGACUACAAUUUAAAAAAUUUAAGAAGGAUCAAUUGGAGGGCAAGUCUGGUGCCAGCAGCCGCGGUAAUUCCAGCUCCAAUAGGAUAUAUCAAAGUUGUUGCAGUUAAAAAGCUCGUAGUUGAAUUUCUGGUGGGUUUUUGAUGUGGUAAUAAAAAUAGCUUCUUGUUAUAUUUAUUUACUACCGCCCGCCAUCUUGUGGAAUCUGUUUUAGUUGUUGAAGGAUUACUCUUUUCAAUAAUUAAGACCCCACUCAGUUACUGAGAGCAAAUUGGAGUGCUCAAAGCAGGCUUUAUUAGCUUUGAACAUUUUAGCUUGGAAUGACAAGAUAUGACUAGUUUUAUAUUUUGUUGGUUAUAUUACAACUAGUAAUGAUUAAAAGGAACAGUUGCGGGGAUACUCGUACUGAAGGGUCAGAGGUGAAAUUCUAGGAUUCCUUCACGACGAACGACUGCGAAAGCAUUUAUCAAGUAUGUUUUCAUUAAUCAAGAACGAAAGCUCGGGGAUCGAAGAUGAUUAGAUACCAUCGUAGUCCGACGCCAUAAACGAUGCCGACUCAGGAUUGUAUUUUAUUUUAAAUUAAAAAAUAAAUAAAUGCAGCACUGUAUGAGAAAUCAAAGUCUUUGGGUUCCGGGGGGAGUAUGGUCGCAAGGCUGAAACUUAAAGGAAUUGACGGAAGGACACACCAGAGGUGGAGCCUGCGGUUUAAUUUGACCCAACACGGGGAAACUUACCAGGUCCAGACAUGAUGAGGAUUGACAGUUUGAAAGCACUUUCUUGAUUUCAUGGGUGGUGGUGCAUGGCCGUUCUUAGUUGGUGGAGUGAUUUGUCUGGUUGAUUCCGAUAACGAACGAGACGGGGGGAGUUUACUAGUUUUAUCGAAAUAAUUUACGUUAUUUCAAACUUCUUUACUCGACAACUCUUUUUUAAAGAGAGGAAGCACCCCGCAAUAACAGGUCUGUGAUGCCCUUAGAUGUUCUGGGCUACACGCGCGCUACAAUGACGAAUUCAACGAGUAAUAUAUUUUAUAACUUCCUUGUCUGUAAAGAUGUGGGUAUCUUUUCAAUAUUCGUCGUGAUGGGGCUAGAUUUUUGCAAUUAUUAAUCUUCAACGAGGAAUCUCUAGUAUGUGCAAUUCAUCAGAUUGCGCAGAAUGCGUCCCUGUCCUUUGUACACACCGCCCGUCGCACCUACCGAUUGAACGAUCCGGCAAGAUGUUUGGAGUUGUGUUAUUUUAAGUAAAAUUUGAAUAAUAUGACAAAGCUCUUCAAACCUUAUCGUUUAGAGGAAGGUGAAGUCGUAACAAGGUCUCCGUAGGUGAACCUGCGGAGGG